UUAGUCGAAGCUAAAGUCAGAAGCAUCUCACUGUUAAUGGGAUUUAGAAACCAGUUUUCCGUCUAAG
rnacentral:tRNA from 1 species